CACCCCCUCCUCCUCUCCCUCUCCCUGUUUCUCCCUCUGCUGUCUCUCCGUCUGUCUCUCCCACCCCCAAUUUUCUCCUCCCCUCUUGUUCUCUCCCCUCCCCCCUCUCUCCCUAGAAUCUGACUGCUUCUGUCAUGGAAAUCCCCACUGGUACACACGCACACACACUCUCUCUCACUCGCUGACACUGACACACUUGGAGGGAAUGAGCCCUGAGGCUCCUGUGCAGGGUGACCGCUCCCCGUGGCUCUCCCUCCCCUGCCCCUGCCUUCCUCUUCUGUGUGUCAGACAGGCUGAAUUAAGAAAGGCUUUCAGGAAGGGAGGGAUGCCUGCGCCGUCACACCUGGGUACCACCUGUCCCCCCCCACAAUGCUAGCCUAGAAGAAGGGGUACAGCCCUAGCCCACCUGUCCCACUGCUGAGCUGCCCAGGGAUUGUGCUCCUCCCUCUGUGGGUUGAACUGGAAAACUCAGGUAGGCUUCUUUUGCUGAGAGGAGAAGGAGCCCACAUCUCUCUCUUGAAAGGCCAGGGGCCCAGGCAUCUCCUGACACCUCCUCAGUCUGUCACCAGGGCAGCUGCUGCACUGUGGGGCAUUUAGUUUCUGGUGGCUUCUUGUCAUUGCCUGUCAAUCAGAGAUUUAGCAGCAUUCUCAGAUCAGCUGAGGGGACAGUGAGGCUCACUAUGACCUCCCUUUGGCACCACCUUGGCCAGGAGAAGACAAUAGCUGGCCCCGAGGGCUCCCACCUGGGAAGCCUGCAUGUCCAUGGUAGGCCUGACACACAGCAUCUUCGCCCCGAGUUCCAGCUGCUGCCUUCUGUCAGCCCUGAAGACUGCAUACCUGUCCACUUUGAGUCAGCUGAAGCAGCAAGUUCAAGUUUAUGAGGGACCUGAUGACACAAUGUACCAGUACUCUUCAGGAAAUGGAGAGGAUGGUGGCUGACAUCCACAGUAACAGGUACAUAUAAAGUCUCAACCUCCCCUCAGAAAAGGGUGCAUGACCCUCCUGCUCCUGGACCAGACUCUGGGGAAGAUAGUGAUGGAGAGAUAGGUGGCAGCUCUCGGCCUCCCCAGUUAGCCUUCCUCUCCACAAGAUACUCCCUGCUCCUGUGGCCACCUGCACCCCAUUAGCAACCUCUGUCCUGAGCACAGACAAUCGUUUCCUGAAGCCUCCUGGUAGGGCUUGUGGUGGCUGGAUGGGACAUUUUCCCGUAACUGUUGAGUCGACCCUGAAGGCAGAGGUCUCAUCACACUCACCUCCCCUCAUCUAGCAUCAGGCACAGUGCAGAUGCUCAUGAAAUGAGACAGCAGGGGGGCAGGGAAAUCAGUGGCUUCCCCCCUCCGCCCUGCCACAGAGGGCACUCCUCAGCAGUCUUCGUGUGAAAGGCAACUGUAUACAGCAGAGAGCUGGAGCCAGCUCCUACCAAUUGUCAGCCUCCCUCUCCAGCCCCCUUCAAAGACAGUACAUUGGUGGCUUGAAAUCUGCCAUGCCGGGAGAACUUGCACCCUAGAAAUUAGCAAAUUGCACAAAUCAGGCCUCACCACCCUCCAAGCCUGCGUUGAACAUUUACCAGCACAUCACUCACAGAUUCCAUGGGACCCUGGGCCACUCACUUAACCUCCAGAGCCUCAGUUUCCAAAUCCCAUUGGAAUUUUGACUGGACAACAUUGAAUCUAUAGAUUAAGCUGGAAAGAUCCAUCUUCAAAUUCACAAGCAUGGUGUAUCUUUUCGUGUAUUCAAGUCUUGUUCGAUUCUUUUUAACAAUAUUCCUCAUUUUCAGCCUUGCAUCCCUUUUAUCUCUAAAUAUAUAAUGCUUUUUGACGCUAUUGAAUACACCAUUGUUUUGUAAAUUUUACUGUCUGUUCACGUAUAACAUAUAGGAACUAUAGUUGAUUUUUAUGUAUCAGUUUUUAUCCUGGGACCUUGCUAAAGUCACAUGUAAGUUUAGGAUGUAUGAUAGAUUUCUUGGGUUAUGAAUACAUAUAAUUACAUGGAUUUUGAAUAUAAGCAAUUUUACUUCUACUUUUCUUAUAUGAAUUAAUUAAUUAACUUAUUUAUUUAUUUUUACCUAUUACACUGGCCAGGACUUGUACCAUAUCCGAUGAAGAUGGAAUAAGCUUUGUUUUGUUCCCAUUUUUAGAGGAAAGGCAUUCUGCCAUUCUCCAGUUGUAAUGUCAGCUGCAGGUUUUCCAUAGAUAUCUUUAUCACAUUAAGACAGCAUAAUUCCAUCAUUAAUUCACUUGGAUUUUAUCAUAAAUGAGUGUCACAGGAACAUUUCUGAAGACCCCACAGGAUUUUCUUGAAGGCAGUGGGAAUGGCCAAUGUGAGAGUCGGGGAGUGCAGUCUCACUGCCAAGGACUUCUGGAAGGUUCUGCUCCCUGUCCAGGUUCUGGACAGUCGUGUUCAGGUGGACUUGAAGGAAGUUUACACAACUGCCUGGUGAUGACGUGCAGACAUGGUGUCCCCAUCAUCGGGGCACAGCCCUGGGGCAGAAGAGCAGGCAGAGGACCAACAGACUCCAGCCUGGUCCUGCAGACCCUCAGACUGGCCCCACCCAUCACGGCCCCAUUCGGCUGUGAGAACCAUGUCACAGCUGAGCUGGCGUGCCUGGUCCCUCUGGGCUGGACUCAUUCUCUAGGAUGCCUGCGUUCUUCAUUCACCAGGGAGCACCUGCUGAAGACCGGCUGGCUGACCGAGGGACAGGGGACGUCCGAGCAGAGUGCUGAGCUGGUCCUGCGGAGGAGGACACUACUCCACAGGAGGAGUGCUUUGUGCCAACACACAGUGGGCCACCGAGAGCGUCAGGGUCUCUCUAGUGCUUCCGUGGCAGGAGCCAGGCUUGGUCCUCCUGAGCCCGGCUUCAGAUUUUGGUGUCAGCAGGGAAAGCUUCUGAGAGCCCCCAACAGGUGAGGGACACCAUUAUCUGCAAGCGAAGGACACCAACAGACGCUCUCUGCCCUGUGGGAAUGGAGACCAUGUGUCAGGUCAAUGUGCAGCCACAUGGGCAACGUGUCACGUGGCAGUGUCCUGCAGGCACGAGCCCCUCUCCAGUCCAAAGGUGACUCCCACAUCUCUCCCCUCCCAGUCUUUGUCCCUGCGAAGUGUGGUGAGACAUGGGGAGAGUCAACGGAGAGCUGACAGAGAGAACACUUGUCCCCACCAACCUCUGGAGGUAAACCCUGGAGCCUUAGCACCUGCUCCUUCUGAACAUUCUGCGGGGGCAGCCGGGACGCUGGCCUGUGCUUAUCACACUGCAGGUUUGUUUCCUUUGCCUUGGGAACAGGUGUGCACCCUGAAAUUCAACAGAAGCAUCAGACCUCACCAGCCCUGGUCUCUUUUUUAUGACUCUGGUUACUGAAUUUAUUUAUUCAAUUUUCUCUUUCUUCAAAAAAAAAAAAAAUCCAUCACAAGAGGACAGGCGCUCUCCCCAGGGGCUGCCCUGGCACACAGUUACCUUAGUAAGGGCUUUGUGUGCAGAGCAGACAGAAACCCCGUAUAACCAGCUGGCCAAAGGAGGCUGUGGGUGCAGGUGGGAGGACGGGUAUCCACACAGCCUUGGGGUGCAGCCCCCGCUCCUCAGGUGUCUGGAGGCAGCACUGCAGCCGCGCGAUCCCUGCGCUCUUCUCCCCCCAUGCACCCUGCUUCUCCUUCCUCCUCAGGGUUCUUCUCCCUACUCGUUCAAACUGUCCGGUGGACCACAUGGUAGCCAGGGACUUGUGCACCCAGCAAUUUACCUCCAAAUGGAGCUAGCCUCUUUCAUUGGGGGGACCUUAACAAAUCCCGGGAGGGGCUCCCACUGGCCACCUGGUCUGGUGCUCAUGCCUCCAGCGCCGCGACUUUUUCUCAGAAUGGCUGUCAGAGAAGAAAGAUGAGGUGCCACUAGUGUGAGCCACUCAAAUCCAGGAUGUAACGCAUAGUUGACUCUAAUUGAGUGAGAAGCAGUUAGGCCAAAGGUCAUUUUAAAGAUCAGAUUCUCUGUAGAACCUAAAGGCAGAGCCAAGUCCACCUUUCUGGGGAGCUGUAACUAUGGCCUUACCGUGGAGGGCAAGGGCAGUUGAGCUCCCUGAGGACUGGAAGCAUCCCUGCUGGCAGGGUGAGUGCCAGCAUUUUAAGGACAUGAAAGGACAGCAUUUUAAGAAGCCAGGAGGGUGGCCUGAGAUGCUGGGUCACUCCUCCUCUGUCGGGAGGGUGGCCUGAGGAGAAAGAGGCUCUCGGGUGGCCACUAUGAACCCUGGGGUUCACACUGUGCCUCUCAACCUUCCACUUGCCUCUAGACCGGAGGCUUAAGCAAUCACAAAGCAUGAAGAUCCCGUCCAAAAAAGGCACGGCAGCCCAGGGAGGAGACUCACGGACAGUAAAGCCUGGGGAAUGUCUGCGACUGGACCUUGGGUUUGCAUCUGUGAAGAUCUGCUAAGGAAUGCGCAGGUCCUAGGGGCAGCUGGAGGUUGCAGCUAGAGAGAAACCUGCAGCACCAGGAUGGAGCUUUCUAAUGUCGAGGACUCUUCUAAGCAAGCCUCAUACAGCAAAUCAUUUAAGCUCAAGCCAUCACCUGAGAUAGGCGAGAUUGCUAGGCCCACCUGCUCUUGCUUGAAGAGUGUCCCCCCAAAAGCCAUGUCUACCUGAAACCUCAAAAUGUGACUUCAUUUCUAAAGAGGGUCUUUGAAGAUGUACUGAGUUAAGAUGAGGUCAUACUGCACUGGAACAUGCCCCUCAUCCAGGGCCUGGAGUCCUCACAAGGAGAGGGACUUUGGGACCCAGAUUGGGAUGAUGCGGCCACAGGCCAAAGAGCUCCAGGGAUUGCCAGUAGCCCCCAGAAAUCAGAAAGAAGCAGGAAAUGAUUCUCCCCUAAAAUCUUCAUGGGAAGCUGGCCCUGCCAACACUUUGAAUUUGAAUCCCUAGCCUCCAGGACUGUAGAGAAUACAUUUCUGAUGUUUUGACCCCCCACACACACACCAUUCCUGGUCAUCAGUUACAGCAAUCCUAGGACACCACCUUACACAAGAGUGAACAGCACCGACAGGUGAACUUUUCCCAAAGUCACGCAACCAGAAAGAGGGUACAGGUGGAGAGGCAGGAGCAGUAUCUGGGGCCAGAGCAGAGCAGAAGGGCACAGCCUGGCCACUGCUCAGAAGCCCAGGCAUCUUGCUGAGAGGUAGCAGAGUCCCCUUGCCAUCCUGUGGCCUGGGCGGCUUGGCUUCUAGCUUGGGGCUGUCUGCGGUCAGGCAUUUCCUUUGCCUCCCUGAGUGACCCCCCUCACCCCUGUACCUGCUAAGGUCCCUCCUUCCAGGCAGGGUCUUGCCUUUGACCUGGCCUCCUGUCCCUUUGGUGCUCAUGUGCCCUUUCCUGGAGAUGAGGAUCCUGCCAACCUGCCAAGCAUCUGUGAGAACUGACCAGCACAUUGGUGGCUGCCAUUCAUGCCCUUGGCUGGGUUGAUCUUUCUGUGCUCCUAGAUUUUAUAACUUUUCCCAAACCCCAAAGACUCCAUGAUCAGCUCCCACACUCCCACUCUCUCCCCAACCCAAGCUCUUCACCAUGAACAUAGUGGGCAUUCAUUAGCAUUUGCAAAUAUUGAAACAUGGAGGGCCUUGCCUACCACAGUCCCACCUCCUCAGCCCAAUGGCGCUCACCUUUUGGAGAUUUCCUUGUUAUCUUUUUCAGCUACUCAUUUUCCUCAGUUGGGAUCAUAAUGUCAAUGGCUCUUUUAUUUAAUGUGCUAAUGAGACUGUUCUGCAUGCAUCUCAACUCUGCCAGAUGCCACUUGAGUCACCGCCUGGAGUAGCGUUGGAUGGAUCUCGUGGUCUGCUAGGCCAUCCUGCCCGAGCUGGAUGGUUGGGACAGCUAUGAUUUUUCAGAAUUAUAAAUAAUGUUGUAAUGAGCAUCACAUUUUUCAUGUACAGGUUUUUUUUAAAGAAAGAAUCCCAGAAGUAGAAGUGUUGAUGAGGACAUGCUGCAGGGUCCUGGUGUCACCAGAUUGCUCUCUGAGAGGUGACAGUGGCUGUGCCCCCCUGCACCUCACCACACUCCUCAGCACUGGGGCUUCUUUCUCCUUUUAUGGCUUGUUAAUUUGAUGGGAAGAAAUGAGGUUCUUUGUUCUAGUUUGCAUUUCCUUUAUUACUAAUGAGGCUGAACGGUUUCAAAUACACCAGUCAUUUACAUUCCCUUGUUUGUGCAUUUUCUAUUGCCUCCUGAGCCCACACCUCCAUCCCUGCAGGGCUCUUUCUUGGUAACCUGUGGGAAUACUUUUCUUGGGUUAUUAACCCUUUCUGCCAUGCUUACUCACUGACAUUGCCCAAAUGGAUGGGUUUUUAAGUUUUAAAUAGUCUUUCAUUGUUCCUAAAGUUCUUCAUGUGCACCGGGGGAAAUGGAAGACACAGCCAAGCAACAAUAAAAACAGGGAAAUUAUCAUAUUCCUUCCACCCAGAGAUUUCCACUUUUAACACCUUAGUACAUCUCACUCCUUUUUAACUUCAACCAAAUGAGAUCAUUCUGCAUAUAACGUUUUAUAAUCUGAUUUUUUUUUUUUCAGUAAACAAUCUCCACUUGCCUGUCAGGGUGGAAUAUUUUUAAGCCAUCUCAUACCAGAGCACUCUCGAAUUUCUCUGAGAGUAGCCCAACACUGUCCUCAAGAGCGGGUUUGUCUGAGGAUGCAAGACCACUCAGACCACACACCCGUCUUCCUACGACCCUCCAAGCUCAGUAAAGUCCCAGUUAAGUGUCAUAGAUUUCUUGAAGAUACCAGGCCAGGCCUUCUGUGGAUAAAUCUAACUUGUCACCCUUGUCCUGCUGUUCCCUUGUGAUGUUAUUAACUUGUGCCCCUCAACCUAGAUCUUCCAUGUCCAAAAAAAAAAAAAAUUUCCGUAACCUGCAUGCAUGAGUGACCUCUCCUCUGGUUUUGUCCCUCACUUUCAGGGCUGGGGCCCUCUUCCUGUGAGCUGUGCCAGCCUGUCUCUCAAUCUGGCUUCUUUCCAUAUGGUUGGAUGCUGCCCUCCAGCCAGCAGAGCUUGGAAGGAUCUUUGCAUGACACUGACAUUUGAACCCUUCAUGAAGGACAGACAAGGCAUCUGCUGCCCUGAGACUCCCUGCAGCCCCUGUUGUUUGAAAGUUACCUGCAAAACCGAGGAAUUGGCUUCUAGCUUAAUAUUCAAAUACACUUCACAUUACAAUAAGAAUGACUUAAAUCAGGCCUUUCCUGAAAAAAGCAGAGCUUCAUCUUCCAAACCCUGUCAGCCUGCACACUCCAGGUGGUAGGUAGAUCAGCAUCUGUCCUGCUCACCGUCGCAUCCCCUGGGCCAACAGUGUGUUCAGCAUAUUAAAGUGCUUACUAAAGAACAGCUGGAUAAACAGAGGAAUGUACCCUAAUUUUGGCCUGUGGCCCUGAGCACACUGGAGUAGCCACCACCACACGUGGAUAAUAUCUGCCUGGCCUGGCCCUGUGUCCUCAGCGCGUGGGACAGGAGCACCGUGUGCCACCCCACGUGGGGGCUGCAGCCAGGGAUCUACACUCACAAAAUGCAGAGCUGCACUCAUGCCCUUUGUCCUGUCCCCCAGCUAGAAGCCGCGAGCUCUCGCAUCAUCUGAGCUAUUCGCAAGUCUGCACUGAUCCUCGGGGCUAGGCUCCCUCACGAAAGCGGAUGAGCAGUCUCUGUUUCCUGUUCCUUAGAGAAAGUGUUGACUUUCCGUGAGCUCUGAGCAGUGGGGGUCUUCCCAGCAUCACCAAUUCCAUGGCUUGAGUCUGCCGUGUGCUCUGCAGUGUGACCUCCGAAGAAACCCCCACGGAAGGAAGCCUCUGCGUGACUCGCUUCUCUUGCUUUGGACUGCCAUACAGAGCCACCUCAAAGACCUUGCACUCUGCAUUCCCCAGAGACCUUCCCCAAGCCCCACAUUCGCCCAGAGAGGAAGGUUCCACUCGAGGAGGUCCGUGGCAGAAUCACUUGUCAGAAACAGCUGCCUAUGGCGGAACACAGGCCCCUGGUGAAUGCUCAGCCUGCCGAGGGCACCAGUUGGAAGCUAUUUGAAACAUCCCUAAUAUUCCAUGUU